rnacentral:rRNA from 1 species
AACGAACGCUGGCGGCAUGCCUAACACAUGCAAGUCGAACGAGACCUUCGGGUCUAGUGGCGCACGGGUGCGUAACGCGUGGGAACCUGCCCUUAGGUUCGGAAUAACUCCCCGAAAGGGGUGCUAAUACCGGAUAAUGUCUUCGGACCAAAGAUUUAUCGCCUUUGGAUGGGCCCGCGUUGGAUUAGCUAGUUGGUAGGGUAAAAGCCUACCAAGGCGACGAUCCAUAGCUGGUCUGAGAGGAUGAUCAGCCACACUGGGAAUGAGACACGGCCCAGACUCCUACGGGAGGCAGCAGUGGGGAAUAUUGGAAAAUGGGCGAAAGCCUGAACCAGCAAUGCCGGGUGAGUGAUGAAGGCCUUAGGGUUGUAAAGCUCUUUUACCCGGGAUGAUAAUGACAGUACCGGGAGAAUAAGCUCCGGCUAACUCCGUG